rnacentral:lncRNA from 1 species
AGGUAUUGAGGAGAUUCCCCAAUAUUGAAAAAUUGCGUUCCCGUGCAUCAAAAGAUGAUCCCAUAGAAUUGCGUUCACCUGUGACAAAAGAGGAGCUUGUAGUUGAGGUAUGGAUUUUUAUAUUUCUUGGUUGUUUUUAUACUUGUUUCUCAUCAUAAUAGCAAAAGCAGUUUGUUCUGAGUGAUCUGUGUGGUCUCCUAUCAAUGACUGCCGUUUCUAUCAUUUAGUACUAUUGACUAUGUGUGUAUAAAUAUUUUGUUUUUACCAUGUAAUUUCAUAUUCGAUGCAUUUCUAAUACAUUGCAUAGCGUCCAUGAAUGGGAAUGAUAAAAUAAAUUUCAAGCGUGUUUCAAUAGAUGAAAAAACUUGGAACGAUUUAGAAGGAUUUGCUGAUUAAAUAAUUUUCCAAUUUGUUUGCUUGGAGGAAUUGAAUAGUUAACUGAUUAAAGGAUUUCAAGGUGGUUCGGUCCCGCUGGGCAUUGUCAAUAUCAACGGUCAUUAAUUCCUAUUAUCUGAAAUUGAAUUUCCAGUGUGGCAUGGUAACUUUCUGCUAGGGUGUGAUUGUAUAGUAGCCAAUUGUGAGCAACAGAUCCGCAUAGUAAUAUAGAUUGAAAUUUUGCAUCUUAAUCCAUGAAGAUAUAGAUUUUGGCAAUAUUAUACAAGCACUGGGGAUUACCUUAAAUAUUCUGGACUUGUCAUUGAUAGAGUUUCUUUUACCUAGUUAUUGAUAUUUCUUUCAAUUUUCUAUUUUACUCAUACAAUUUAUACAAUUUUAGGUGGCAAGACAACUUUCGUUUUCUAUUGAGCCUGAAAACCUGCAUCUACCAUCACCUCUAUCUGCUUUUCGAGAAUAUGAGGUUCCUAUGCGCUUACCCAAAGCCAUCCCCCUACCGGAAGGAAAGGUCCAAUGGAUUCUCAAUGUUAAAGUCCGCGGCAAAUAAAUAUUUUUUAGUUAAUUUUUUAAUCAAUAAAAAAAGGUAAUUAAAAAUGUAAUUAAUAAAUUACUUAUUAGCAAAUUAAAAAACAAAUAUUAGCAUAAAAUAAUUGAUAUUUCAUUCUCUUACAACAAUCUUACCAAUUAUUAUUUAUAAAUUAAUUAAUGCAAGUUAAUUUAAAGUAAUGUUUAAUAUUCUUGUAACAACCUUACUAAUAAUUUUUUGAUAAAAAAAUUAAUUUAUUAAAUUAAUCCUAGAAGUAAAAUAAUAAUAAUUAAUUUGUAUUUUAUUUUUAAGAUUAAUUUGAUAAAUUUAAUUUUUUUUAACUAAUAUCUCCAAGAAUAUAGUUGUAACGAUAUUAUUACAAAAGGAAAAAAAAUAUAAGAUUAUAAUAUAUUUACCAGUAAGAAUAAUUUAAAAUAUUUUUUAAGAUAUAAAAAUUAAACGGACACUUAAUUAAAAAAAAAAAAAAAAAACUAAAUAAGUAGUUAGCUUUUAACAUUUCAACCUAGUGGUCAUACAAUCAUGGUGCGGCCCGGGAUGGCUGGCCCAGCCCAUCAUGUAAAAAUCCAUGUCACCCUCAUUCUUAAGCUGCUACUCUGCCACUUGCCACGGAGCUCCCCACAUCAUACCGUACCGAUGCCUCUAGAAAGCUAACUUUAAAAAAAUGGUAUUAAUAAGCGUACGCCACGUCACUCCUCACUCUCUUCUUCGUCACUUUCCUCUCACUCAACAUUUUCUCCCCAAACAAAUUCCUUCUUUGAAAAAUCGCAUUUUCUCCUUCACAGCAACCGCUACAAUGUCUUCAACUUCCAAGAAGGUAAUUUUUUUAAAUUUUAUUUUUUGUUUAGUUUCUUUCUGUUGCCUUUUUGUUUCGUUUUUUGAAUUUUCUGUGUCGUUUUUUUUUUCCCAAGGUUUUGGUGCCUGUUGCGAACGGGAGUGAGCCGAUUGAAGCCGUGAUAACGAUCGAUGUUUUGAGAAGGUCUGGAGCUGACGUCACGGUUGCGUCUGUGGAUAAACAGCUUCGUGUCGACGCGUGUCAUGGUGUCAAGAUUGUCGCUGAUGCUCUCGUGUCUGACUGCCGCGACGCUGUUUCUGAUCUUAUAGCUCUGCCCGUAUGUAUUGCAGCUCACCUCAGCUCAUGCUAAUUUAUGUGAUGUUUGUAUAAUUAUAGAUGAUUACUGCUGAUACUGAAUGUUAAAGCUAAAUAAUUCGUUCUUAAGUCAUCUUCAUUUAAUUUUCGAUUGAAAAUGAAAAAAAAAAUAAUUUUAAGCAAAGAAAAUGUUUAUUUUGUUUUAUUUUUAUUUUUAAAUUUUUGGGAUUUCCUUAUUGUGACUGUUGUCAUUCAUUAUAUGGUCCUAGUUAAAUGUUUCAAGUUGUUGUAGUCUGUGAAACUCUUUUCGAUAUUUGUUCUGGCAUGUACAUUUUUCCUUUCAAUUUAUUUUGUUGCUGAUACUUUGAUUAUGAUAUAUCCUUUUUUGUUUCCCUUGUAGGGUGGCAUGCCCGGUGCUACCAAUCUGAAAGAAUCUGAAGUAUUAGAAACCAUUGUGAAGAAGCAGGCUUCAGCUGGGCGUCUUUAUGCUGCUGUCUGUGCUUCACCUGCUGUGGCAUUAGGGUCUUGGGGUCUGUUGAAGGGAUUGAAGGUAAGAAUUAGAUAAGCCUUUUUUUAUGUUUGGUGUUCUUUUGGGAAUUGCAUUGAUAUUUGUGUUAUACAUCAGUUUUGCUCUCACCGAUGAUUGUUAAGUUCUAAUUUAUGGGGUUAUUCAUUUUUUGUAGGCUACUUGUUACCCGUCAUUUAUGGAGCAAUUAGCUCCUGCUUGUGCAGCAACUGUUGAAUCAAGAGUACAGCAGGAUGGUAAAGUUGUUACGAGUCGUGGACCUGGCACUACUAUGGAGUUUGCCAUUGCACUUGUCGAGCAGUUGUAUGGGAAAGAGAGAGCUGAUGAAGUUUCUGGGCCACUGGUAGUAACUUUUAUAGAUAAUGUUGUUUAAAAAAAUUGUGAGUUAUAUAAUUUGUGGAAAUUCAUUCUAAUAGGUUCAUCUAGUAUGUCAAAUUGGAAGGUUCAGAUGCUAAUAUAUUCCAAAAAAUUUGUUCAGGGGAAAAGUAUGACUUUUUGCAUUAGAGAUUCAUUAGAUGAAGUUGUAUACCUGCUGGCCCAUCUUAAUGUGGUGAAAACGAUGUCUGAUGAGACUGAUAUAAUUAUUGGAAUCUUGAUAAAUGCAUUUGUUGAGCUUGAAUGUCUCCACUGAUCACGUUCUUUUUAAUGUAAGUUCUUUCUCUUGGUAUUUGUCUUUGAAUCUUCUCUUCCUCAUGCUUUCGUCUUCACUGUCACCUUGUGCCUAGGUAAUGCGUGCAAAUCAUGGAGAUGAAUACACUAUUGCUGAAUUCAAUCCAAUUCAGUGGACAUUUGACAAUUCUCCCCAAGUAAGAUUUGACUUCUAGUUUCUUGUAGUUGUUUUUCUUCAUCCGAUGUUUUCAGGGAUACCCAUUUGGCAGUAUAUAAAAGUCUGUGAUAUCUUCUAUACAUAUACAUCAUUGGCUUCAGUCAUUUUCGAACAUAUUGGAGGUAGUAGAUGUAUUUUUAUGAUAUCUCUAAUAAAAUCCCAAGUUUGAUCAAUUACAAAAGAAGUAUGAGCGGUGCUGGACCGGGGGGGAAGAAGAAGUGGGGGGUCGGUGUGGUGGGGGUGUGCAGUGCAUGAAUAAAAGGAAAUGAUAGGGGGUGAAAGUUUGUGCUACCGACAUGCUGUAAAAUGGGGACAUAAUAUUUCAAAUUAGAUAUUGUGUGAUCCUUAAUAUUGCUGACUUUUGCUUAAAAUGGAAUUCUUGAUAACUUCAAAUGUUAAAGUUCUUGGUGAAAUUUUGUACUUUCUUUUCUUUCAGAUUCUUGUGCCUAUUGCAAAUGGUUCAGAGGAGAUGGAAGCUGUUAUGAUAAUUGAUAUUCUGCGACGAGCUAAAGCAAAUGUUGUAGUUGCAUCAGUUGAGGAUAAACCAGAAAUUCUGGCUUCUCGUCAAAUUAAAUUAGUGGCAGAUGUGCUCAUUGAUGAGGCGGCUAAACUCUCGUAUGAUUUAAUUGUCUUGCCAGUGAGUUGGGGUGCUUACUGUUGCUUCAUAGUCUUUACCACAUAAUUGACUUACUAACUACAAUUUAUCCAUGCACAUUGCAUAGGGUGGACUUGGUGGCGCUCAAGCAUUUGCGAAGUCAGAGAAAUUGGUGAAUAUGCUAAAGAAGCAAAAGGAAUCAAAUAGACCUUACGGUGCUAUAUGUGCAUCCCCAGCUUUAGUGUUGGAGCCCCAUGGCUUACUCAAGGUACGACCAUUUCUGCUUAAAUUAUUUACUCAGAUUUGGAUCACCUAAUCUGAACUUGAUGAAGGAUUAUGAUGUUGUGUGAUUUUAUGAAUGUGGUCUUAUCUCAUGUAAGUCGGUGAUGAAUUAAUUGAAGUUUGCUGACAAAUUAGAAACUGAAAAACUGCUGCUGCUUCGUUAGUUACAUUACCCAAAGAGUUAAAAUAAACAUCCCAAAUUUUUUGUCCCAAAUUCUGUCCCAAAUGAUAUGGCAUUUAUUGAGUGAUUGUAUUAUCUAACCAACCAAUUGAUGAAUGACACAUCAUUUGAGAUGGUUUUUUGGGAUAAAGAAUUUGGGAUUUUUACCCGCAAAAAUCCCAAGUACUUCCUGCUCCUGCAAUAUCAUUGCUGUGUAUUUGUUUUCCCCUUAGACAUAUUCAAUUGUGGUUCAGGGUAAAAAAGCUACAGCUUUUCCUGUUAUGUGCAACAAGCUGUCAGAUCAGAGUGAAAUCGAAAACAGGGUUGUGGUUGAUGGCAACCUCAUCACCAGUAGAGGGCCAGGAACUUCUAUGGAGUUUGCACUGGCAAUUGUGGAGAAGUUUUUUGGCCGCAACAAGGCACUUGAGCUUGCAAAGAUAAUGCUUUUCACUCGCACCUAACAUUUGUACGGGGACCUGACUACUAUUAAACUAGUGUGUUUAUUUCUGUAUUGCUACUGCUUGUAGAGAGGGGAAAUGGAAACUUGAAUUCAUGUUUGAAUAUGGAUUCACUGUGUGGGUUUGUACAGCAGUUUGAUUUAUAAAUAAAUGAGUUCAAAGAGUUACUUCAAAUAUUCGGAAUAAACCUGAGUUUAGUUCUGUUAUCAAUGGUCGGAGUCCAAUUGCGAUCGACACACUGGGAAUUUUAAUUAUGAACUAAAAAAUUGUUAUGUUAUAUUCCACCUUUCUCAUAAAAUGUUAACUCGAUUUACAGGAUAAGAAGGAAAAGAAAGACGCUAAGAGAGGAGCAGAGACCCAAAAAGAGUUGACCACUUUGUUGGAACAUAAACCUCUAGAAUAUUGAAAUAAAACACAUACCAUAUCUAGUAUUAAGUAUGUAUAUGCAAGAAGAUACAAAUUUGAAGAUCAGAUUUCUCAUUUCAAUUUAUGUUCUGCUUAGAGCAAUGGCUCUUAUUCCACAAGCACAAACAGGAAAGAGUACGCACGAAGUUAAGAAACACACAUUGCAAAAGUUGCAUUAACUACUUGCAGCAGCAUCAUCCAAGAACUUGACUUUAAUCUUCUUGAGCUUCGCUGCGGCAUCUGUCAUAUGCAUUCUCUUGUCAGGUGACUCUAUACAACAAUCCAAAGCCAAAUCCAUGAUGCUUAAUAAACAAUCCAUUUUGGCAGAAAAAGCUUGCUCUUCUCGCACCAAAUUUGCGUCAACAACUUCAGUCAAUCCGUGAGGUAAAGACUCCUUUACCCAUCUCCUUAAACUCAUUUCUCCUGCGAACAUUUCAUCGGUGGGCCUCUUUCUCGUGAAGGUUUCCAUCAAUAAAACACCAUAGCUGUAGACAUCACAUUUAGCUGAAACAAUUCCUUCUGAUCCAUACUCUGCAUUUUUUAAUUUUAAUUAUGAAACAAAUGAUAAAACAAAUAAUUUUUUGAUAAUUAAGGUAACCCAAACUUUGCUCGUGCUUGAAAAAAGAGUAAAAAUUUUAAUUACAAUUGAAACUUUACCUGGUGCCAUAUAACCAAUUGUAGCCAUUGUCAUGGUUUGUGUCACAGAAUCUUCUCCUUCACCUAAGAGUUUGGAAAUGCCGAAGUCGCUCACAUGUGCCACCAUAUUUUCAUCCAAGAGAAUGUUGGUGGGCUUCAAAUCACAAUGAAUUAUAGGUGCCGACGAAUGACCAUGAUGGAGAUAUUCAAGGGCCGACCCCACAUCUAUCAUUAUGUUCAACCUCUCUAGGAUGUCUAAGAAAUAGUUGUGAGAAUAUAACCACUUCUCGAGACUACCAUUUGGCAUGAACUCAAGUACCAAUGCUUUAAAAUCUUGAUUAGAACAACUGCUAAGGAUCUUUAUGAGAUUUCGAUGACGAACAUUCAGUAAAACUUCACAUUCAGAAUCAAAACUCCUAAAUGCUCUCUCUAGUUGCAGAUUGAAAACCUUUAUCGCAACAUCAGUCCCGUCGGAAAUGGUUCCUUUAUAAACUGAUCCAAAGCUACCUGUACCAAGCAAGUUACAUUCAUUAAAUUCAUCAGUUGCUCGUUGAAUGUCUAGGUAGGAUGUUCUUCUCCAUGUUGCAAGAGGUAGGAAAUCUUCGUGAUCUGAUUUUUUUGUACUCCUCUUUCGGCAUCUUAUGUACAUAAUGAUGAUAAUCACUAUAAGUACAGAGGAUACUAUCGGAGGCAAAAUAUAUUUAAGGACAAUUAGAGCAACGUUUUUGGUGCUUUUGCUGUCACCUUGUUUGCAAGGUGGGACUCGGAAUUUAGGUGGACCACAGAGUGCAUAAUUUCCGAAAAAUGAUUCAGCUGACAAGUUUUUAAAAGACCCCUUAACAGGAAUUUCCCCUUCUAGCCUAUUAUGAGACACAUUAAAUUGUUUGAGAUGUGAAAGUGUCUCCAAUGACUUAGGAAUUUUUCCAGAGAGAUUGUUGCCAGAGAGAUCUAAGGAUUCUAAGCUUAUCAAACUACCAACUGAUUCAGGAAUAGGUCCUUGAAAUUGAUUACUAGCCAAUGAUAGAGUUUCUAUAUCUUUGAGGGCACCGAUGGUUGAUGGAAUAUCACCUGAUAAUUGAUUCCUUGAUAAAUCUAAAACUCUCAAGACCUUUAACUUUUGUACAUUGGAAGGGAGAGAAUCAUUUAACGAAUUUGACGACAAGUUUAUCUCUAAGAUGUACUCAAGGCUCCACAAGGAUGACGGUAUACUAGAAGUGAGCUUGUUGGAGCCUAAGUGGAGUUCUCUUAGAGAUGUCAGACUCGCCAAGCAUGGUGGUAUAUGUCCAGAGAGCUUAUUUCCAUUUAACAUUAUUCCGUACAUCAACUCCAAGUGGCAAAGAUCAUAGGGAAUGGAUCCUUCCAAAUUAUUUUCUUCAAGAGAUAAACCUUGUAGCCGCUUAAGUCUUCCCAUCGUUGGUGAAAUAGUUCCAUUCAAGUCAUUGAAGCCGAGGCUUAAGAGGAUCAGGCCACGCAACUUACCAAUUUCUUUAGGAAUGCUGCCCCCGAGUUUGCAGUUGGAUGCAUAAAAUUGUCGAAGAGAAGCAGAGAAAUUUCCAAUUACUGGUGGAAGGAUGCCACCCAAUGGAUUAUAAGCUAAGGCUAAAACUGUUAAAUUUCUGCAAUUAGUCAGAGAAGAGAGAAAACUCCACUGAUCUGCUGAAGAUGAUUCUGUCGUCAAGUUAUUAAAUGCUAAGCCAAGCACGCCGAGGUGUCUCAAGUUGCCAAAUGUAUUUGGAAUAUGGCCUGAGAAUGAGUUAAAGCUCAAUUCUAGGCCAAUGAGUUUAGAAGCGUUUGUGAUGGAGUUGGGAAUUUUUCCGGUAAGGUUAUUGGCCGCCAAGGUUAAAUACUCUAUGCUCGGAAGCGAGUGGCCAAUCGUUGAUGGUAAGUGGCCUGAAAGUUGAUUGCUAAUUAGAUUAAGGACUGUUAGGGUUGAAAUGUUGAAGAUUGUGGGUGGAAUGGGGCCACUUAAAUUAUUCGCACUAAGAACAAGGGUAUCCAAAUUUUGUAGAUUGCCAAUCUCAGUUGGAAUUUGACCUGUCAUAAAGAUAAACGCCAAAUUGAUGAGUUAUUGAGCUUUUUACUUAACAUAAAUUUUAAUUUCAUAACGCAUGAAAAUCAAAUUUGCCCACAAAAUGUGUGUUAUUAGUUUUAUAAUUUUUUUUUGGGUUUUUUUUGGGGGGGGGGGGGGGGAGAUUGAUAUUGCUACCUCAUAAUUUUUGUAAAACCCCACCCGCUUUCAGAGAAUUAUUGGAACAAGAUUCUUAAAAAAAUUCAAAUAAAGAAGAAGUUUGGAGAAAUAAUCAAUUAAAUCCAUCUUAAUAUACUUUUUGAAACUUAUAUUCUUUUAUCAUAUAUAAUAACUAAGGUUGCUUUAACAUAAAUUUAAUAUAACUAGUCUACUCUCAUAAGGUAGAAUUACUAAAAUACCCACAAAUUUACUUCAACUUCAACUAAACUAACAAAAUGUAUUUGUUGACAUGUGGGGAACUAAAAAUUAUUGAAUUUUAUUUUAGAAAUAUUGUAUUACAAAACAUAAAACAAAAUGCCGAAACUAUAUAUUAGAUACAAUAGUACAUGUUUUUCGGGGUAAUUUGGUCAUUUUAUAUUAUAAGAGUAAAAUAGUCAAAUUAAACUUAUUUUAAAGCAACCGUAAACGGUCAAAGAUUGUUAAAAGCCCUAAGUCAUAAAAGAAAAACAUUAUAAAAAUAAUUUAUUAAUUGUUCAGACUUAAUUUAUAAUUUUAUAACAUAAUGUGAACUUAUUAUAACUAUCUUUUCAAAAUGAGGUGGGUUUGCAAGAAUAAUGAGUGGAAAUAUCCCCACCCUAUAAAAUAAAAAGAAUUUUGCAGCUAUGCAAAUGCAAAUAUGUAGAACGUACCUUGUAGGUUGUUAUAACCUAGAUUCAGAAUGAAAAGGCUGCUAAAAUUUCCUAUCCCUGAAGGAAUAUUUCCAUCAAUAACGUUGUAGAUUGCGUCGAACACCUCCAGCUUCGAUAAAUUGAGGAGAGAAUUUGGGAUUGGACCCGUGAAACUGUUAUUAUAAAGCCUCAACGUUUGUAAUUUGGAUAAGACACCAAUCCAUGUUGGAAUGCUUCCACUCAAUUUAUUGAAACCGAAUCUAAUGAAUCUGAGUCGGCGUAAUUGCCCCAAUUCAUUAGGCAGAUGGCCAUGAAAAUUAUUAUGAGCAACAUCAAGAGAUACUAAGAACGUGAGAUUUCCCAAGUGUAGUGGAAUGGUGCCUCCGAGACCCAUAUCUGAAAGAUUCAAGGCAGUGACUCUUUGAUGGCGUGAACCACAAGAGAUACCAACCCAGCUACAUAUUGGAUAAGAUAUAGACCAAUUAUUUGUCAGAUCACUUCGAUAAUCAACGACACGGGCUUUGAAUGCAAGAAGAGCCGAUUGAUCUGUUGUUAAGUUGCUCAAAGUCGUCAUAGCUAAGCUAGCUAUGGAAUAUUGUACCAACAACAUAGGAACAAAGAAGAAUGAUAAGCACAUAUUGGUCGUUUUUUUUUAUAGAUGCAGCAAUCUAAUUGCUAGGUGAAGUUGAUACAAGUUUUAAGUGAAGGAAACUAGCAUAUACUUAUACAAGAGACGUAUGAAUUUGAAAACAAGAAAAGAAAAAAAUGUACAGGAGAGUGGAGACAUGCAAAUUGGUAUAUUUCAUCAUUGAGCGAGUCGUCCAAGUAAACUCAUACAGACCUGUAAAUUGUUAUAGGCCGCGGUACUUGAACCGUGAAUAAAGGGCUUAUGGCACUUGACUUACCAAAAAGAAGAAGAUGCUCAACAUUGGCAAGGCCUAUGCAUUCUGUCCAUUUGUUCACGUUUUGCCAAGGCUCAGGGCAACCACAAUAUGUUCUUUUUCUUCCCUCUUAAAACAAAAAACAAAAAAAAAAGACGACAUUUACAUUUGGGCUAAUAAUUAUAACUAAACAAUUAAUAAUACUGAGGGUCAGUGGUAAUGUAGCUUUAAAAUAAUUGUUAUUAGUUGUGUCUUAAAAAUAAAGAAAAAAAAUAACUAUACCCAUAUAAUUAAUAAAAUAAUCAUGUAAAUUCCUAAGCUUUUAACAAUAUACACCAAGACCCCCUACCGUUACUUUUUACCAUUUAUUUGGAUGUCACAUGCUUUUUUUUUUUAAUUUUCACAGUGGAUAUCAAAUGCUAAAUUUACUGUUAUUCCCAUAUCAUGUCAUCACUUGCUUCUACACACAUUGAUUGUUUUUCCAAAGUUUCAAAUUGAAUUAAAAACAUUCUAAUUAACCUAAAAAAAACUCAUCCAACCAGAUAUAAAUCAUCUAAUUAACCUAAAGAUAGCUACACCCCCAUAUUAAUUCCAAUUAAAUAAAAUUCAUUUUUGUCAUGAUUUUGGAUCUCGAGCAGGGUGGAUAUAUCCAACUAGAUCCGCCCCAUUGGCAUUCCAGUAUAUUCUGUAAUUGGAAGAGUAUGAAUGACUUAAUUUGUAAUUUUAAAUUUGUAACGUUCAAUUCUAAUUUGAGGAUUCAAAUGAAUUUAUGCGAAUCUAAAAGGGGACUGAAGAUUGGCAUGCAUACAUGCAUACAUAUACAUAUAUAUAUAAAUAGAGAGAGAGAGAGAGAGAGAGAGAGAGAGAGGUAAUAUAACAUUCUUCUUGAUGAAGAUUUUUGUGCCAUACGAAUUAAAGAGAGUAUUGUGUCGAUGUUCGAGGCUAGAGCGACAAUUGGUUACAUUGCUUCAGAGGUGUUUAGUAGAAACUUUGGUGAGGCAUCACAUAAUUUAAAUUACUAGAUUUAGCGAGAUAUAUAUAUUUUCCACAUUGGAUUUACAAGCAUUUCGAGCAGUAUAAUGAAUUAAAAUUACUCGGAAUUGUAAACAGCGAGGAAAGUGAAAUUGCUAAGAAGAUGAAUAUUUUGUUGUUUUGUGGUGUACACGGACUCGUCCAUCGGAUAGGUCGCCCAUGAACAGAGGGAUAGAAAUGUUAUUGCCAAGAAGCAGACUGACUAGCAGUGACGCUUUGAAAAGUCCACCGGACAUCGUCUCCUCCAAGACCACCAAUAGAUUCUUCCACCAUUUCAACGUCGUGACGUGGGGAUCGGAAUUGAAUUAUAGGAUGCUUGUAAGUUUCCUUUGUGGAACUUGUGAAUUUGUGAUGGCAAAAGUCAAUGAUGCAUGUAACUAGCUAGCCCGUGUAGACUCCGUUUUACACUUUUUCAAAACCCAAAAGCACGCUAAAUCUUAAUCUUAAAAGAAUUUUUGAUUCAGUGCUGAAUUUUGGGCUUAUCUUUAAGUAAUCUUUUACCACGCAUGCAUUUUUGUCAUUGUGCAGUCAUCGAUUGCUUCUAAAGAUCGUAAUCCUUAAGAAAAAAUUACUUCUCUUGAAAGUGAAAGCAGGGCAGCUAUUGGCGUAUUGCAUUGCAGCUGCUAUGUGUAGUAGUCAAUUCUUGGAAACAACUAGUUUUCUUAAAUUGUAAACGGUCCCCUUUAUGACUGGGAGAUUUUGAACAAAAUUAAUAUGACGAAUUCUUUGCAGGUGUUGUUCCUUGAAGUCUCAUCUUUCACAAUGUUUCUGAAAUAAAGAUAUUACCAUCUCUGAUUUAAUAUUUAUUCUUGAUUUGUACCACCUAAUCUGAACUUGAUGAAAGAAUAAAGAUUAUGAUCUUGCCUGAUUUUAUUAAUGUGGUCUUAUCUCACGUAAGUCAGUAAUGAAUUAAGGAAAAUUAUCAUUCGUAUACCCUAUAAUUGCUCUGUUAUAAAAAAUACUACAACACUUUGAGGGUGUAUCAAUUGUCCACCCUAAGUUAACAAAAUGUAUCUGUCAUCCACCAAACCGUUAUUUGCCGUUUAAAUAGAAUGACACCAGAGGGGUAAUUUUAUCUUUUCAUAUGAUACAAGUGAUAAUUUAAGGGUAUACAAGUGAUAAUAAAAGAAUUUAAAGGUAUACAAGUGAUAAUUUUAUUUACUUUAAUUUAAGUUUCAAGGGUAAAAUCGUCAAUUCACUAUAAUUCCGUUAACUUUCAAACGGUAGCUAACGGUUUGGUGGUCGGCAGAUAGCUUUUGUUAAUUUAAGGUGGACGAUUGAUAUACUCUCAAAGUGUUGUAGUAUUUUUGAUAAUAGAGCAACUAUAGGAUAUAUGAUUGAUAAUUUCCCAUGAAUUAAUUAAAGUUUACUGUCAAAUUACAAACACAAAAACUGCUGCUGCUUCAUUAUUCACAAUACCUAAAGUCAGUGCAGAACUUAAUAAGUUUUCCAAAAGUUUUACGCUUUCUUUCCCCCAAAUCCCAAGUACUUACUAGAUAUGUCAUGUUUAUACCCAAAGUCAGUGCAGAACUUACUCGAUAUGUCAUGUUUACACAAGAGUUUGUUUAUAAAUAAAUGAGUUGACAAAUAUUUGCCAAAAAAAACGGUGAGUGAUGUCUAGUUCUAUUUUCACAGUUCAGAGUCCAAUUUUGAUUACUGGAAAUUUUAAUUAUGAAGUUGAACUAAGAAUUUGUUAUAAUAUCUUCAACCUUCCUAUACAGUCAUCUGGAAUAAUAAUAUAUCAAAAACAGUAAUAACUCGAUUUACAGGGUGAGAAAGAAAAGAAAGACGCUACGAGGGAAGCAGAGAUUCAAAGACUUCGCCACUUUGUUGGAGGAACAAUUUCAUAAAUCUCCAGAAUAUUGACAUAAAACACAUAACAUACAUAUCUAGCAUUAAGUAUAUUUAUGUAUGUCCAAAGAUAAAAAUUUGAAGAUUAAAUUUAUCAUUUCAAUUUAUGUUCUGCCCAAAGCAAUGGCUUUUAUUCCACAAGCACAAACAAGAAAGAGUACGCACAAAGUUAACAAACACACAUAGCAAACGUGACAUCAACCACUUGCAGCAGCAUCAUCCAGAAACUUCACUCUAAUCUUCUUGAGCUUUUCAGCGGCGUCUUUCGUAGAUGCCCCCUGUUCUGGUGAUUCCAUGCAACAAUCCAAUGCCGAAUGCAUGAUGCUUAAUAAACAAUUCAUUUUAGGAGAAAAAACUUGCUCUUCUCUCACCAAGUUUGCAUCGACAACAUCACUCAAGGCACGAGGUAAUGACUCCCUUACCCAGUCUCUUAAACUUAUUUCUCCUGUAAACAUUUCAUUUGUGGGAUUCUUUCUGGUGAAAGUUUCCAUCAAUAAAACACCAUAACAAUAGACAUCACCUUUGGCCGAAAUCAUUCCUUCUAAUCCUUACUCUGCAUUUUUUUGGUUUCGAUAGAUCAAAUGGAUGUGACAUCAUAAAACAAAUGAUAAACAAAUAGUCUUUUGACAGUCAAGAUGGCCCAAACUUUGACUGUGCUUCGAAAAGAGCGAAAAUUUGAAAUUAUAAUUGAAACCUUACCUGGUGCCAUAUAACCAGUUGUAGCCACUGUCAUGAUUUGGGUCACAGAAUUUUCUUCAUCACCUAAGAGUUCGGAAAUGCCGAACUCACAUGUGCCACCAUAUUUUCAUCCAAGAGAAUGUUGCUAGGCUUCAAAUCACAAUGAAUUACAGGUGCUGAUGAAUGAUCGUGAUGGAGAUAUUCAAGUGCCAGCCGCACAUCUAUCAUUAUAUUCAACCUCUCUAGGAUAUCUAGGAAAUAGUUGUGUGAACACAACCAUUUCUCAAGACUACCAUUGAGCAUGAACUCAAGCACCAGUACUUUAGAAUCUGGAUUGCAACAGCUGCUAGUGAUCUUUGUGAGAUCUUGAUGACGAACAUUCCACAAUACUUCACAUUCAGAAUCAAAACUCCUAAAGGCUCUCUCUAGCUGCAGAUUGAAAACCUUUAUUACAAUAAUAGUCACAUCAUAAAGUGUGCCUUUAUAAACAGAUCCGAAGCUCUCCAUACCUAGCAGGAUACAUUCACUAAAUCCAUCAGCUGCUCGUUGAAUAUCAUGAUAGGAUAGUCUUCUCCAUGUUGUCGAAGAGAACAAAUCUUCUUUAUCUGGAGUUCUUGUUUUCCUAUUUUGAAAUAUUAUGAAGAAUCAUAACAAUUGUUAUUAGUGCAUUGGAUAUAAUCGAAGGCAAAGUAUAUUUCAGGACAAGCAGAGUAGCAUUCUUGGAUCCUUUGCUAUUAUCUUCUUUGCAAGGUGGGACUUGAAGGCCUGGUGGACCACAUAGUGCAUAAUUCUCAAAAAACGAUUGAGCUGAAAUGUUUUUAAAAGGUCCUUUGAUAGGAAUUCCCCCUUCUAGCCUAUUGUGAGACACAUUAAGUUGUUUGAGAUAUGAGAGUGCCUCCAUUGACUUUGGAAUUUCUCCAGAGAGAUUGUUGCUAGGGAGAUCCAAAGAUUCCAACCUUAUCAAACUACCAAAUGAUUUAGGGACCAGACCAUAAAAUUGGUUUCUAGCCAAGGACAAAGUUGCUAGAUCUUUGAGGCCACCAAUACUUACUGGUAUAUCACCUGAUAAUUGAUUUCUUGAUAAAUCAACUCUAUUAAGACCUUUAAGUUUUGUACAUCUGAAGAUAGAUGACCACUUAGAGAAUUUGUUGACAAGUUUACAUACAAGAUGUACUCAAGAUUCCACAAGGAUGAUGGGAUACUAGAAGUGAGCGUGUUGCAGCUUACAAAGAGUGUUUUUAAGGAAUUGAAUAUCUGAAAUCUUGUAUGUAAAUAUUAACACUUAGAGAAUUUGUUGACAAGUUUUUAAGGAUUUACUGAUUAAAUAAUUUUCCAAUUUGUUUGCCUGGAGGAAUUGAAUAGUUAACUGAUUAAAGGAUUUCAAGGUGGUUAGGUCCAGCCGAGCAUUGUAAAUAUUAACGGUCAUUAUGAAUGUGUAAUUCCUAUAUGUGAAAUUGAAUUUCCAUGGUAAAUUUCUGCUAGGGUGUGAUUGUAUGGUAGCCAAUUGUGAGCAACAGAUCCACAUAGUAAUAUAGACUGAAAUUUUGCGUCUUAAGCCAUGAAGAUAUAGAUUUUGGCAAAUAUUAUACAAGCAUUGUUUGCAACACCACAGCUAAUUUGCAGUAGGAUGAAACACUCAGAAUUUUGCCUUUUUCAUGUAUAAAAUUUUAUUUUUUUAAUUGUGAUAUUACAGUUUUGCCCAUCAAGCAUUAUGAAGCUUAAUAUUUGGAUAAAUGUUAGGUUUAAUCUAUAAAUUUUAACUUCAGUGUUUAUUUAGUUUUUAUAUUUUGUAAAAUAUCUCAAGGCAGCCCUAUUAUCAAAUAUUGGCUUGAUCCGUAUAUAUUAACUUCAGUGCUUUAUUUAGGUUUUAUAUUUUGAAAAAUACUUUAAGGCAGUUCUAUUAUCAAAUAUGUUAUGCUCUUGCUUUUAUUUUUUCUUUGUUUUUAUAAUAAUACUCUGAUAACAAUAUUUUUUUACAUUAAUUUUUUAAUCAAUAAAAAGGUAACUAGCAAAUUAACUGAUAAAUUAAUUUGUUAAUUUUUUUAAUCAAUAAAAAAUUUAAUUAAUAAAUUACUUGGUAGCAAAUUAAAAAAUAAAUAUUAGCAUAAAACAAUUGAUAUUUUUCAUUCUCUUACAACAAUCUUACUAAUAAUUUUUUUAUAAAAAAUUAAUUUAUUAAAUUAAUCCUUAAAAGUAAAAUAAUAAUAAUUAAUUUGUAUCUUAGUUUUAAAGUUAAUUUGAUAAAUUCAAUUUUUUAAUUAAUAUCUCCAAAAAUAUAGUUGCAACGAUAUUAUUGCAAAAGUAAAAAAAAAAAUAUAUAUAGAAUUUUAAUAUAACUGCCAGUAAAAAUAACUUGAAAUAUUUUUUAAGAUAUAAAAAUUAAACCAACACUUAAUUAAAAAUAUAAAGAAUUAAAUAAACAUUUAUCUUCUAACAUUUCAACCUACUGGCUAAUGGUCAUACAAUCGUGGUGUGGUCCGGGAUGCCCGGCCCAGCCCAUCAUGCAAAAAGCCAUGUCACCCAUAUUCUUAGGCUGCUACUGCAUUAAAAAAAUGAUAUUAAUAAGCGUACGCCACGUCACUCCUCACUCUCUUCUUCGUCACUUUCCUCUCACUCAACAUUUUCUCCCCAAACAAAUUCCUUCUUUGAAAAAUCGCAUUUUCUCCUUCACAGCAACAGCUACAAUGUCUUCAACUUCCAAAAAGGUGAUUUUUUUUUAAUUUUAUUUUUUGUUUAGUUUCUUUCUGUUGCCUUUUUGUUUCGUUUUUUGAAUUUUCUGUGUCGUUUUUUUCCCCCAAGGUUUUGGUGCCUGUUGCGAACGGGAGUGAGCCGAUUGAGUCCGUGAUAACGAUCGAUGUUUUGAGAAGGUCUGGAGCUGACGUCACGGUUGCGUCUGUGGAGAAACAGCUCCGUGUCGACGCGUGUCAUGGUGUCAAGAUUGUCGCUGAUGCUCUCGUGUCUGACUGCCGCGACGCCGUUUUUGAUCUUAUAGCUCUUCCCGUAUGUAUUGCAGCUCUCCUCAGCUCGUGCUAAUUUAUGUGAUGUUUGUAUAAUUAUAGAUGAUUACUGCUGAUACUGAAUGUUAAGCUAAAUAAUUCGUUCUUAAGUCAUCUUCAUUUAAUUUUCGAUUGAAAAUGAAAAAAAUAAUAAUUUUAAGCAAAGAAAAAUAUAGAAAAUGUUUAUUUUGUUUAAUUUUCAAUUUUUAAUUUUCAGGGAUUUCAUUAUUGUGACUGUUAUCAUUCAUUAUAUGGUCAUAGUUAAAUGUUUCAAAUUGUUGUAGUCAGUGAAAUUCUUUUCGAUAUUUAUUCUGGCAUGUAUAUUUUUCCUUUUCAAUUUCUUUUGUUGCUGAUUCUUUGAUUAUGUUAUAUCCUUUUUUGUUUCCCUUGUAGGGUGGCAUGCCCGGUGCUACCAAUCUGAAGGAAUCUGAAGUAUUAGAAAGCAUUGUGAAGAAGCAGGCCUCAGCUGGGCGUCUUUAUGCUGCUGUCUGUGCUUCACCUGCUGUGGCAUUAGGGUCUUGGGGUCUGUUGAAGGGAUUGAAGGUAAGAGUUAGAUAAGCCUUUUUGAUGUUUUGUGGUCUUUUGGGAAUUGCACUGAUAUUUUUGUUAUGGUUCAGUUUUCUUCUCGCUGAUGAUUGUUAAGUUCUAAUUUAUGUAGUUGUUCAUUUUUCCUAGGCUACUUGUUAUCCGUCAUUUAUGGAGCAACUAGCUCCUGCUUGUGCAGCAUGUUGAAUCAAGAGUACAGCAGGAUGGUAAAGUUGUUACGAGUCGUGGACCGGGCACUACCAUGGAGUUUGCCGUUGCACUUGUUGAGCAGUUGUAUGGGAAAGAGAAAGCUGAUGAAGUUUCUGGGCCACUGGUAUUAGCUUUUAUAGAUAACGUUGUUUAAAAAAAUUAUGAGUUAUAUAAUUUGUGGAAGCUUCAGAUGCUAAUGUAUUCAAGAAAAUAAGUUCAGGGGAAGAGUAUGACUUUUUGCAUUAGUGAUUCAUUAGAUGAAAUUGUAUACCUGCUGGUCCAUCAUAAGGUGGUGAAAACAAUGUUUGAUUUAAUUAAUGAAAUCCUGAAAUAUGCAUUUGUUGAGCUUCAAUGUCUCCACUGAUAAAAUUCUUUUUAAUGUAAGUUCUUUCUCUUGGUAUUGUAUUUGAAUUUUCUGUUCCUCAUGCUUUCGUCUUUACUGUCACCUUGUGCCUAGGUA